UACGUAGGUGGCAAGCGUUGUCCGGAUUUACUGGGCGUAAAGAGCUCGUAGGCGGUUUGUUGCGUCGGCCGUGAAAACCUGCAGCUUAACUGUGGGCCUGCGGCCGAUACGGGCAGACUUGAGUUCGGUAGGGGAGACUGGAAUUCCUGGUGUAGCGGUGAAAUGCGCAGAUAUCAGGAGGAACACCGGUGGCGAAGGCGGGUCUCUGGGCCGAUACUGACGCUGAGGAGCGAAAGCGUGGGGAGCGAACAGG
rnacentral:rRNA from 1 species